GUUGAAAUCUGUAAUUUGUUAUUGUAAUUGUAAUUAUGUAUUUUGGAGCUAAGAAGGAUUAUUAGCGUUGUAUAAGACUCGCGUAUAAGAGCGCAUAUAAGAGUUGCAAAAUGCACCAAUUUUCGCAAAGAGCCUCUAUGCUCAGUAUAAGGGUAGACAAGAGUAUAAGAGUGAAACCAAUGGCGACAAAAACAAAAAUAGAAGAAAAAUCACAGAAACACACACACACAGACAAACACACACAGACACAUAGAAGCAGACGCAGACAUUGAGCAAAUGAAACCAAACACAAUUAACAAUAAUAAACAAAUAUUGCAUUGUGCAAUGUGCACAGUGUGUUUUAGUAACAGAAACCAUAAAUACCGCGUCUCAGCCAACUAAUAAUUAUUAUUCUUACGAUUGCUGUUGAAAUAAACAGAGAUAAUAAAAACUAACUAACUAAAAAAAAGUAUACGUUAAAUCUGCCCGCCAAAAGCGGAAGUUAUUAUGUGAGAUAAAAAA